CAGUCGCCGCGGUAAUACGAAGGGGGCUAGCGUUGUUCGGAAUUACUGGGCGUAAAGCGCACGUAGGCGGAUAUUUAAGUCAGGGGUGAAAUCCCGCAGCUCAACUGCGGAACUGCCUUUGAUACUGGGUAUCUUGAGUAUGGAAGAGGUUAGUGGAAUUGCGAGUGUAGAGGUGAAAUUCGUAGAUAUUCGCAGGAACACCAGUGGCGAAGGCGGCUAACUGGUCCAUAACUGACGCUGAGGUGCGAAAGCGUGGGGAGCAAACAGGAUUAGAUACCCGAGUAGUCCCUGUCUCUUAUAA
rnacentral:rRNA from 1 species